rnacentral:rRNA from 1 species
UGUUAAUAGCAUAUUCAUUUGACGUUAGCUGCAGAAAGAAGCACCGGCUAACUCCGUGCCAGCAGCCGCGGUAAUACGGAGGGUGCGAGCGUUAAUCGGAAUUACUGGGCGUAAAGCGCAUGCAGGUGGUUUGUUAAGUCAGAUGUGAAAGCCCGGGGCUCAACCUCGGAAUUGCAUUUGAAACUGGCAAACUAGAGUACUGUAGAGGGGGUAGAAUUCAGUGUAGCGGUGAAAUGCGUAGAGAUCUGAAGGAAUACCGGUGGCGAAGGCGGCCCCCUGGACAGAUACUGACACUCAGAUGCGAAAGCGUGGGGAGCAAACAGGAUUAGAUACCCUGGUAG